AACGCACCUUGCGCUCCUUGGUAUUCCUUGGAGCAUGCCUGUUUGAGUAUCAUGAAAUUAUCAAAAUAAUUCUUUUGUUCAUUCAAUUGAAUUUUAUUUUGGACUUGGAGGUCCGCAGAUUCACGUCUGCUCCUUUUAAAUAUAUUAGCUGGAUCUCAGUGAGCUCGGUUCCACUCGGCGUGAUAAGUAUCACUCGCUGAGGACACUGUAAAAGGUGGCCGGGAUUGCGGAUGAACCGCUUCUAAUCGUCCAUUUACUUGGACAACAAUACUUUAUGAUCUGAUCUCAAAUCAGGUAGGACUACCCGCUGAACUUAA
rnacentral:misc_RNA from 1 species